AUUGAACGCUGGCGGCAGGCCUAACACAUGCAAGUCGAACGAGUGGCGGACUGGUGAGUAAUGUCUGGGAAACUGCCUGAUGGAGGGGGAUAACGACUGGAAACGGUAGCUAAUACCGCAUACCAUCAGAUGUGCCCAGAUGGGAGUAGCUAGGUGGGGGGGUAACGGCUCACCAAGGCGACUAUCCCUAGCGGGUCUGAGAGGAUGACCAGCCACACUGGAACUGAGACACGUUCCAGACUCCUACGCGAGGAAGCAGUGGGGAAUAUUGCACAAUGGGCGCAAGCCUGAUGCAGCCAUGCCGCGUGUAUGAAGACGGCCUUCGGGUUGUAAAGUACUUUCAGCGGGGAGGCGUUACCCGCAGAAGAAGCACCGGCUAACUCCGUGCCAGCAGCCGCGGUAAUUC
rnacentral:rRNA from 1 species